GAUCCAUUAGCUCAGUUGGCUAGCAGCGUUCGACUGUUAAUCUUGCGCAUACAACUGUAUUCCAAGCGACAUCGAGAGGUCGCUGGUUCGAGCCCAGCAUGGAUCG
rfam:Tilletiaria anomala TBC 951 K437scaffold_104, whole genome shotgun sequence.